GGCCCUCUGCUGCUUUUCUUAGUGACUUGUAGACGCUCCUUACUGGUUAUGAUGUAUAUUCACCUUUGCUCUUUCGGACUCCUGAUGCUGCUGCAGAACCUGCCUACGAUCCACUGGGGCAAUGAGGAGAUCGGGCUGCUGCUGGCUGAGGCGUACAGACUCAAGUACAUGUUUGCUGACGCCCCCAAUCACUACCGCCGAUAGGUGCUGCCUCCCCGGGGACCCAGACGCCCGUCUCCGAUGCAGUCUGGUCACUGUGGCCACCGAGCUGGGGACCCCAUGGGAGCCACUCCUGCUGUACAAAGUUACCCGGCCGCCGUGCGGGCCUUCAUCUCGCCAUCCACCACCGUGUCCACGGCUGUGUCUCGGCCACUGUCAGUAUUCCACACCGUGUGCCCAGCCAGGCCCGGGAGAGGACAGAGAGGCGGUGCAGGGCUGUCCCCUACAGGAAGCUGGAUGGGGCGCAGGGUCCCGCUUACGUUGUCCCCCCAGGAACUGGUCUCUUACCUCCAGGCCUCCACUGAUACUGUUGCAUUUUUUUUCUUUUUAAAUAAGAAAAAUCUACAAAAUUUCUUACAUGCCCCAGGCGUGGGAGUAUUAGUGUGACUUGGCUCUGUCUGAGCCCAGGUUGGAUAUGCCUUAUGUUUUUAGAAGCCCCCCAGCCCGCUGCCCUGGGCCGGAUCCCCGCUGUCAGGGCCGCUGCUGGGACGCUGCUGUGCUGGAGCAGAGGAGGCAUUGAGCUCCCGGCUCUGGGAAGGGCCUACACCCAAGGGCUAGGGGUUUCCUUUUGCUUUCCCCACCAGGUAUCCGUGUGCACGUGCGCCCAGUCUCAGUCAGACUGGCCUGGCCCGGCCCCCGUGUGACCAAGGGGACAAGGGUCCCUGGAGAAGGGUCAGGGCGGGAGGGAGAAGGGACUUUUCACCUCUUUCCAAGAUGACCCACUCCAAGAUACUAUGUGUAAAUUGUGUUACUAUGUAUAUGGGUAAAGUUGUACAAAUAUCCGUCCUCUUUGUAGCAGAUAUGAGUUUAUAUUUAUAACGUGUGAACACGGCCUAGGUCCCCGGUGCACACGCAGCUGCUGGGGUGGUUUCUGGGCGCCCUCCCGGCCUGAGUCCCCUGGAGGGAGGACGGCUGGGCAGGCCCCAGUGUCAGGGUCCAGGUCGCAGUGAGUGUCACAGGGCCGUCCUCGGCCUCCCCCUCAGGCCAAGCCCUCACCUCCCGGAGUCCACGCUCAUCUGGCCAGAAGCUGUGGCUGAUUUGUCAGUCCCAAGGGCAGGGCUCCAGGUGUCCCUGUGGCUUGGGGCUCCUCUCAGUGACAUUAGUGUCCCCUGCUGUCACUGUCACUCCACGUGGCUCAGGAGGUGACCCCCAUCCGAAUUUUGGUGUUUGGUGGCGAUGUGGGGGCGGAGGCUCGCAGCGUCACCCUCUGGGAGCCCAGCGGUGCCCCAUGGGCGACACCCUGAGCCCUGCCCAUGCCCAGCAGGGCUCCCAUCCUCCCGUUCCUUCCCCUCCACAGAGUGCGGCCCGGCCCCGUCGGCCAGCCUGCUAAAGAUGGACACUUGUGGUCCCAAGUGGUGGUUUUAUUUUUUUAGUUUUUAUGUUUGUAUGGGAGUUGUGGAGACCGUGAGUGAACUGUAAA
ensembl:lncRNA